rnacentral:rRNA from 1 species
UUGAUCCUGGCUCAGAAUCAACGCUGGCGGCGUGCCUCAGACAUGCAAGACGAACGAUUAAACUUUCCUUCGGGAAAGAUAUAAAGUGGCGCACGGGUGAGUAACACGUAAGUAAUCUACCUCUGGGUGGGGAAUAACAGUCGGAAACGACUGCUAAUACCGCAUAAUGCAGCGGCUCCUUAUGGAGACAGUUGUUAAAGUAUUUAUAUGCCUAGAGAGGAGCUUGCGGCAGAUUAGCUAGUUGGUAAGGUAAUGGCUUACCAAGGCGACGAUCGUUAGCCGGCCUGAGAGGGUGAUCGGCCACACUGGAACUGAGACACAGUCCAGACUCCUACGGGAGGCAGCAGUGGGGAAUUUUGCGCAAUGGGCGAAAGCCUGACGCAGCAACGCCGCGUGGAGGAUGAAGGUCCUUGGAUUGUAAACUCCUGUCAGCAGGGAAGAAAUCUGCCGGGAUAAUACCCCGGUAGUUUGACUGUACCUGCAGAGGAAGCCCCGGCUAACUCUGUGCCAGCAGCCGCGGUAAUACAGAGGGGGCAAGCGUUAUUCGGAAUUAUUGGGCGUAAAGGGCGCGUAGGCGGCCAGGCAAGUGGAAGGUGAAAUCCCUCGGCUCAACCGAGGAACUGCCCUCCAAACUGCCGGGCUCGAGUCCGGGAGAGGUGAGUGGAAUUCCCAGUGUAGCGGUGAAAUGCGUAGAUAUUGGGAGGAACACCAGUGGCGAAGGCGGCUCACUGGACCGGAACUGACGCUGAGGCGCGAAAGCGUGGGGAGCAAACGGGAUUAGAUACCCCGGUAAGUC